GAGCUUGUAGGCGGUUUGUUGCGUCUGCUGUGAAAGCCCGGGGCUUAACCCCGGGUCUGCAGUGGGUACGGGCAGACUAGAGUGUGGUAGGGGAGACUGGAAUUCCUGGUGUAGCGGUGGAAUGCGCAGAUAUCAGGAGGAACACCGAUGGCGAAGGCAGGUCUCUGGGCCACUACUGACGCUGAGAAGCGAAAGCGUGGGGAGCGAACAGGAUUAGAUACCCUGGUAGUCCACGCCGUAAACGUUGGGCGCUAGGUGUGGGUCCCAUUCCACGGGGUCCGUGCCGCAGCUAACGCAUUAGGCGCCCCGCCUGGGGAGUACGGCCGCAAGGCUAAAACUCAAAGGAAUUGACGGGGGCCCGCACAAGCGGCGGAGCAUGCGGAUUAAUUCGAUGCAACGCGAAGAACCUUACCAAGGCUUGACAUGCACCGGACAACUGCAGAGAUGUGGUUUCCCUUUGUGGCUGGUGCACAGGUGGUGCAUGGUUGUCGUCAGCUCGUGUCGUGAGAUGUUGGGUUAAGUCCCGCAACGAGCGCAACCCUCGUUCUAUGUUGCCAGCGGUUCGGCCGGGGACUCAUAGGAGACUGCCGGGGUCAACUCGGAGGAAGGUGGGGAUGACGUCAAAUCAUCAUGCCCCUUACGUCUUGGGCUUCACGCAUGCUACAAUGGCCGGUACAAAGGGCUGCGAUCCCGUGAGGGGGAGCGAAUCCCAGAAAGCCGGUCUCAGUUCGGAUUGGGGUCUGCAACUCGACCCCAUGAAGUCGGAGUCGCUAGUAAUCGCAGAUCAGCAACGCU
rnacentral:rRNA from 1 species